UUUUAAACAUACAUAAAGCUUUAAGGUAAAAAAACGCGGGUAGUUUUACAUUGUUAAGUCGGUCUUGUUCGAGAAAGCUUUAUUGUAGAAACUGAAGA